rnacentral:lncRNA from 1 species
CGCUGGGUCUGCAGAUGCCAUCCAGGCGCACGGCGGGUAUAGUGGUUCCGCAACCUUGGGAUGUUCGGCCGAGCGCCUGCCUAACAUGGGAGCGCCUGCCUAACCCUCCUGACUGGAGGGUCAGCGGCGGGGAGUCCUGGCCUUCAAUCGGCCAUCGCCACGGCAGAAACUGGGGCCCGGGCCUUCCCCGUCCGUCCACAGGUCUCAUGGGCGCCCGGACUGGGGCUGAUGUAGUUUCCCGACCUCUGACACAUAGAAUCUGGAGAUUAAAGCUGCUCUGCUAAUAAUUAGGUUCCCACCUCUCAAGAUCAUUAGGAGCUUCUUUUCCAAUUUCUCUGUUUUGCAUGCAUUGGAAGGAUCUGGAGCUCAGGACCCACUACCUCCCCGGCCCACUGCAAGCUUGAACAUUUGAUGGUGGACACCCCUCCCUGACUUUGUAUUAUGGUCCAGAUUUUGGAUGAAUCUCUAUAAUGGAGAUUGAACAGUGUCACUGGCGUGGGGGUUACCUUCCCACUAUGUCCCCCAGAAGACAUGAGGCCACAGACUGCAGUGCCCGUGGACAGAGGAGCUGUGGGGAUGGAAGUGUGAUUGCUUCAUUCAAAUGCACGCCCCGGUGCGUGUGCGUCUCUUCUGAUGCAGCGCCCCAUGGGCUUCUCUCUGCUACAGAUUUCUAACUUAACAGGAAAGGCAAUUUUCCUCAAAAAGGGCAAAGAACAGCGGGAACAGUAGAGGGCACCUUCAACCCCAGCAUGGAAUUGAGGUUCCUGCUUCAAAAUGAACCAUCACAGCAAUCUUGGCUUUUUGAUUUGGACCCUCAUUUCUCUUAUAAUUUGAUCUUAUAUUGGAGAGAAGGGGCCUGUCUCUUAAGCCAGCUAGUUUUUGUACUGGAUAUUUAUAUAUCAUUUCAUUUGUUCCUUAGUGUUUUUUCAUUUCUAUUAUGAUUUGUUCUGUGGGCUGUGACUUACCGGUGUGUUUUUCACAUGUUUAUAAAGCUGAAUAGUUCUGUAUGUCAGCUCAGCACCCCUAGCGUCAGCCAUGCUAGUCUCCUGCUGUGCAUAGAUGGGGGCCUGUCCCCCUGCUGAAUCUCCUGGGUUCCUGCUGUCAACACCUGAAGGUACCCACCAGAUGUGUCUGUCACUUCCCUCCAUCCACCUCUCUUGUGUUUCUCAUGUUUCUGCCUCCCUAGAGACCAUUUCUCUCUAGAGCAGUGCUUUCCAAUAGAAAUACAAUGCCAGACACAUAACGUCAUUUUAGAUUUUCUAGUAGUCACUUUAGAAAAGUUAAAAAGAGGCUGGGCAUGGUAGCUCACACCUGUAAUCCCAGCACUUUGGGAGGCUGAGGUGGGCAGAUUAGCUGAGGUCAGGAGUUCGAGACCAGCCUGGCCAACAUGGUGAAACCCCGUCACUACUAAAAAUACAAAAAUUAGCUGGGUAUGGUAGCAGGUGCCUGGGAUUACAGCCUCCCGAGUAGGCUGAGACAUGAGAAUCACUUGAUUCUGGGAGGUGGAGGCUGCAGUGAGCCGAGGUCAUGUGCACCACUGCAAUCCAACCUUGGCAACAGAGCAAGACUUUGUCUCACACAAAAAAAGAAAAAAAAGAAAAGAAAGAAAAGUUAAAAGGGAGCAGGUGAAAUUAAUAAUGUGUUUUAUUUCACCUAAAAUGUUAGUAUUAUCCAGAAUAUCACUUCAACAUCUUAUCAAAAUAAAAAUUGUUAAUGAGAUAGUUUGCAUUCUUCCUCUUUUUUGAGAUGGGCUCUUGCUUUGUUGCCCAGGCUGGAAUGCAGUGGCACCAGCAUAGCUCACUGCAGCCUCAAACUCCUGGGCUCGAGAUCCUC